CCUACGGGUGGCAGCAGUGAGGAAUAUUGGUCAAUGGACGAAAGUCUGAACCAGCCAUGCCGCGUGCAGGAUGACGGCUCUAUGAGUUGUAAACUGCUUUUGUAUUAGGGUAAACACCCCUACGUGUAGGGGCUUUAAAGUAUAAUACGAAUAAGGAUCGGCUAACUCCGGGCCAGCAGCCGCGGUAAUACGGAGGAUCCCAGCGUUAUCCGGAUUUAUUGGGUUUAAAGGGUGCGUAGGCGGAAUGCCAAGUCAGCGGUAAAAUCGCGGGGCUCAACCUCGCUCCGCCGUUGAAACUGGCGUUCUUGAGUGGGCGAGAAGUAUGCGGAAUGCGUGGUGUAGCGGUGAAAUGCAUAGAUAUCACGCAGAACUCCGAUUGCGAAGGCAGCAUACCGGCGCCCAACUGACGCUGAAGCACGAAAGCGUGGGUAUCGAACAGGAUUAGAUACCCGGGUAGUC
rnacentral:rRNA from 1 species